UACCAUGCAGUCGAGCGGAGUGAUGGUGCUUGCACUAUCACUUAGCGGCGGACGGGUGAGUAAUGCUUAGGAAUCUGCCUAUUAGUGGGGGACAACAUUUCGAAAGGAAUGCUAAUACCGCAUACGUCCUACGGGAGAAAGCAGGGGAUCUUCGGACCUUGCGCUAAUAGAUGAGCCUAAGUCGGAUUAGCUAGUUGGUGGGGUAAAGGCCUACCAAGGCGACGAUCUGUAGCGGGUCUGAGAGGAUGAUCCGCCACACUGGGACUGAGACACGGCCCAGACUCCUACGGGAGGCAGCAGUGGGGAAUAUUGGACAAUGGGCGCAAGCCUGAUCCAGCCAUGCCGCGUGUGUGAAGAAGGCCUUAUGGUUGUAAAGCACUUUAAGCGAGGAGGAGGCUACUGAAGUUAAUACCUUCAGAUAGUGGACGUUACUCGCAGAAUAAGCACCGGCUAACUCUGUGCCAGCAGCCGCGGUAAUACAGAGGGUGCAAGCGUUAAUCGGAUUUACUGGGCGUAAAGCGCGCGUAGGCGGCUAAUUAAGUCAAAUGUGAAAUCCCCGAGCUUAACUUGGGAAUUGCAUUCGAUACUGGUUAGCUAGAGUGUGGGAGAGGAUGGUAGAAUUCCAGGUGUAGCGGUGAAAUGCGUAGAGAUCUGGAGGAAUACCGAUGGCGAAGGCAGCCAUCUGGCCUAACACUGACGCUGAGGUGCGAAAGCAUGGGGAGCAAACAGGAUUAGAUACCCUGGUAGUCCAUGCCGUAAACGAUGUCUACUAGCCGUUGGGGCCUUUGAGGCUUUAGUGGCGCAGCUAACGCGAUAAGUAGACCGCCUGGGGAGUACGGUCGCAAGACUAAAACUCAAAUGAAUUGACGGGGGCCCGCACAAGCGGUGGAGCAUGUGGUUUAAUUCGAUGCANCGCGAAAAACCUUACCUGGCCNUGACAUANUAAGAACUUUCCANAAAUGGAUUGGUGCCUNCGGAACUUACAUACAGGUGCUGCAUGGCUGUCNUCANCUCNUGUCCNGAAAUUUNGGUUUAANUCCCNCACNANNNCAACCCUUUUCUUUUUUGCCANCNAGUAAUGU
rnacentral:rRNA from 1 species